rnacentral:lncRNA from 1 species
UGGCAAACUCACAUGAAUCCAGAUAAUAAAAGGGUCUUCCUUUCUUUGAGGGCUUCCUUCAAAAACCUUGGCCUGCGAUGGCCUGGAUUGCAGGAGUCCUAUGAUGUUGGCUAGUCGGUGUAAUUGUCGGGCUUUUCCCUUAAUCCAUUUAUGCCUGAGGUUGCAAUUUUUUGAAUUUUUGCAAUUAGACCUUGGCGAUGACCUUGAGCAGUAGGAUAUAAAUAACUCCCUUGUGUUUAGCAUUCCAGUAAUGGAACACUAGCCAUAAUAAACCGUUCCAAAAAUGCGUUCUAAUGGCUCUCAAGCAAGGUCCACUUGCAGUGAAAUAAACCAGAGGUUUGAAUCAUGGCUUGAUACGAAAUUAUUGGAAAGAAUAUGGCGAUGACAUCCACAAUGCCGGAUAAAGAAAAUAUUUAGAAGAUGAGAUUCCUGUGUUUCUGGCUUUCAUAACUUUUUAGAUUUCCUUUCUACUGGAAAACUUUUAACUUUGAAAACCGCAAGUAAUAUUUUUCUUCCUGAAACCUCUGCAGUGGUAGCAAUGCACUGAAGUUUGAUUAAAAGUUUACUGGUCAUUCCUGCCAUGAGAAGAUGAUAGAGAAUAUCACCACAGUGUGACUUGCUUCCAAGGCAGCAUGGUUUCAUGCAGAGGAUCUAAACUGGGGACCAUGUGCUGGGCUGCAAAAGGGCUGUGCAGUGCCUAAAAUGUUAUGCAAAAUUUUAUAAAGGUAGGUCAUGUAUUGCUCCAUUGAUGCUGCCCUUAUUCAUGAUGAUUAAAGCCUUUGGGAGGUAUUCCUUCAGAAUAAUUUGGUGUUGUUUUCUUCAGUCAAGAGGUCCACAGAGCUGUCUUUCAUUCUGUAGGUUUAUCAGCAACUGAUGCUUAAAACCUAUUAGGCACUGCAAAAAAAGAGUGCACACCUUCUACUUAUUAAAAAAAAAAACAAACUGUAAAACAGCAUCAUGCAGGUUCUUCAGGAGAGAUUCCAGAGGAAGGCAUUGUUGUGGUAGAAGAUGACAGUUCCACAGGUGUUACUAGCCAUGAAGAUCUUCCAGUGAGACAAGAUGUGGAGGUGGAAGACAGUGAUAUUGAUGAUUCUGAUCCUGUUGUUAUAAAUAAAGUUUCGGUUCCACAAAAGAAAUAGCACUUGAACAUAAAAUUUUCUUAUUUUCUUCACAGCAUGGCGGUUUACUUCUAAACUGC